rnacentral:rRNA from 1 species
AUUGAACGCUGGCGGCAGGCCUAACACAUGCAAGUCGAGCGGAUGAAGGGAGCUUGCUCCUGGAUUCAGCGGCGGACGGGUGAGUAAUGCCUAGGAAUCUGCCUGGUAGUGGGGGACAACGUUUCGAAAGGAACGCUAAUACCGCAUACGUCCUACGGGAGAAAGCAGGGGACCUUCGGGCCUUGCGCUAUCAGAUGAGCCUAGGUCGGAUUAGCUAGUUGGUGGGGUAAAGGCUCACCAAGGCGACGAUCCGUAACUGGUCUGAGAGGAUGAUCAGUCACACUGGAACUGGGACACGGUCCAGACUCCUACGGGAGGCAGCAGUGGGGAAUAUUGGACAAUGGGCGAAAGCCUGAUCCAGCCAUGCCGCGUGUGAAGAAGGUCUUCGGAUUGUAAAGCACUUUAAGUUGGGAGGAAGGGUUGUAGAUUAAUACUCUGCAAUUUUGACGUUACCGACAGAAUAAGCACCGGCUAACUCUGUGCCAGCCGCCGCAGUAA